rnacentral:rRNA from 1 species
UACGUAGGGCGCAAGCGUUGUCCGGAAUUAUUGGGCGUAAAGAGCUCGUAGGUGGUGUGUCGCGUCUGCCGUGAAAGCCCGGGGCUUAACUCCGGGUCUGCGGUGGAUACGGGCAGACUAGAGGCAGGUAGGGGAGAACGGAAUUCCCGGUGUAGCGGUGAAAUGCGCAGAUAUCGGGAGGAACACCAAUAGCGAAGGCAGCUCGCUGGGACGUUACUGACACUGAGGCGCGAAAGCGUGGGGAGCGAACAGG